UCCAGUCAACAGCAGUCUGCCAUAGGCUGGGGAAGAAAAUGAACAUUAAUACUUAUUUCACUUGUGCUCAGUAAGAUGCUUAUCUCCACCAUGUUCCCCUCUUCUCUGCCAUCUCUCUUCCUGGGAAUAAGGUUGCCUGCUCAGAAUCAGCCCAGGAAUAGAUUAUGGUGGUUGCCACUGAGCAAGUGGAUAGAGAAAAUUCGCAUAGGUUGAACCUCCAAUGUUUAAACAUAGUUAAGCGGGAGCAUGAGACAAAAACUUCCAAGUACCCUGGCUGAAGCUUGAAAGGCAGUGCUCUCCUCAAAUUGGAAAAGGUAAAAAUAAGCACAAACAAAAUAACCACAAAGAAGAUACUACAUCCCAAGAUCAGAGAGGAGUUCAUGAGAGUGCUUGCUGCCUUAAACGAGGCUCAUGUUUAGGCCUUAAUGCUAUUCCAAAGCAUUAAAAGAAUCUUCAAUAGAAAGAGUGAAAUCUCAUAUGGUGCAGACGUCAGAAACAUGACCCAGAAGGCAAAGGUGAGGAAUCAAGAGGUGAAGGAGUUUGCCUAUGGUCACACAGCCUGAAUGCAGCAGGUCCUCUAAGCCUGCCCCACAGCAUUUUUCCACGGUAUCACAUGUCUGUCAUGCAUACAGCUUUGGAGCUCUGUGGCCUCACAUGACUGGCUAAUUCAGGAGCUUCACAGAGGAUGAAACUGAUAACUCAGGUGAUAUUCCGAAGGUCCCACAGUAUGUACUUGGAGAAGCCUUCCUGUGGUCUUGCCAUUUAACUAGAGGAACCCUUUCAACUGGAGUGGCCAUGUUAGGGUCGAAGAUACACCCAUAAUACUAUCUACCUGCCUUUAGUCUCUGAAAGGACAUCAACUGGAUUUUUUUUUUUUUACUUCUUUUUUUCUUUUUGCAUCUAUGCAAAUUGCUAAGAAAGGAAGUCGGGAUGGUAAUAUUACCA